ACCCGCUGAACUUAAGCAUAUCAAUAAGCGGAGGAAAAGAAACCAACAGGGAUUGCCCUAGUAACGGCGAGUGAAGCGGCAACAGCUCAAAUUUGAAAUCUGGCUCUUUUAGAGUCCGAGUUGUAAUUUGCAGAGAGCGCUUUGGCUUUGGCAGCGGUCCAAGUUCCUUGGAACAGGACGUCACAGAGGGUGAGAAUCCCGUACGUGGUCGCUGGCUAUUGCCGUGUAAAGCCCCUUCGACGAGUCGAGUUGUUUGGGAAUGCAGCUCUAAAUGGGAGGUACAUUUCUUCUAAAGCUAAAUAUUGGCCAGAGACCGAUAGCGCACAAGUAGAGUGAUCGAAAGAUGAAAAGCACUUUGGAAAGAGGGUCAAACAGCACGUGAAAUUGUUGAAAGGGAAGCGCUUGCAGCCAGACUUGCUUACAGUUGCUCAUCCGGGCUUUUGCCCGGUGCACUCUUCUGUAGGCAGGCCAGCAUCAGUUUGGGCGGUAGGAUAAAGGUCUCUGUCACGUACCUCUCUUCGGGGAGGCCUUAUAGGGGAGACGACAUACUACCAGCCUGGACUGAGGUCCGCGCAUCUGCUAGGAUGCUGGCGUAAUGGCUGU
rnacentral:rRNA from 1 species